rnacentral:rRNA from 1 species
GAUGAACGCUAGCGGCAGGCUUAACACAUGCAAGUCGAGGGGUAUUGGUUUUCGGACCAAGAGACCGGCGCACGGGUGAGUAACGCGUAUGCAACCUACCUUUAACUGAGGGAUAGCCCAGGGAAACUUGGAUUAAUACCUCAUAGUAUGUAUCAUUCGCAUGUUUGAUAUAUUAAAGUUCCGGCGGUAAUAAAUGGGCAUGCGUGACAUUAGCUAGAUGGUAAGGUAACGGCUUACCAUGGCAACGAUGUCUAGGGGUUCUAAAAGGAAGGUCCCCCACACUGGUACUGAGACACGGACCAGACUCCUACGGGAGGCAGCAGUGAGGAAUAUUGGUCAAUGGGCGCAAGCCUGAACCAGCCAUGCCGCGUGCAGGAAGACGGCCCUAUGGGUUGUAAACUGCUUUUCUGAAGGAAUAAACCUUUCUACGUGUAGAGAGCUGAAUGUACUUCAAGAAUAAGCACCGGCUAACUCCGUGCCAGCAGCCGCGGUAAUACGGAGGGUGCAAGCGUUAUCCGGAUUUAUUAGGUUUAAAGGGUCCGUAGGCGGGAAUCUAAGUCAGUGGUGAAAUCUUGCAGCUCAACUGUAAAAUUGCCAUUGAUACUGGAUUUCUUGAAUUAGUGUGAAGUGAUUAGAAUGUGUAGUGUACCGGUGAAAUGCAUAGAUAUUACACAGAACACCAAUUGCGAAGGCAGAUCACUAACACUAUAUUGACGCUGAGGGACGAAAGCGUGGGGAGCGAACAGGAUUAGAUACCCUGGUAGUCCACGCCGUAAACGAUGGAUACUAGCUGUUGGAGAGCAAUCUUCAGUGGCUAAGCGAAAGUGAUAAGUAUCCCACCUGGGGAGUACGUUCGCAAGAAUGAAACUCAAAGGAAUUGACGGGGGCCCGCACAAGCGGUGGAGCAUGUGGUUUAAUUCGAUGAUACGCGAGGAACCUUACCAGGGCUUAAAUGUAGAUUGACAGGGGUAGAAAUACCUUUUCCUUCGGGCAAUUUACAAGGUGCUGCAUGGUUGUCGUCAGCUCGUGCCGUGAGGUGUCAGGUUAAGUCCUAUAACGAGCGCAACCCCUAUUGUUAGUUGCCAGCGAGUCAUGUCGGGAACUCUAACAAGACUGCCAGUGCAAACUGUGAGGAAGGUGGGGAUGACGUCAAAUCAUCACGGCCCUUACGUCCUGGGCCACACACGUGCUACAAUGGCCGGUACAGAGAGCAGCCACUCCGCGAGGAGGAGCGAAUCUUCAAAACCGGUCUCAGUUCGGCUCGGAGUCUGCAACUCGACUCCGUGAAGCUGUAAUCGCUAGUAAUCGCAUAUCAGCCAUGAUGCGGUGAAUACGUUCCCGGGCCU